rnacentral:lncRNA from 1 species
GUGUAGGGAUGAGCACGACAGUGCAGGUGAGCAUGAAGGAUGGACAAUCUUCGGGGAUUUUAGAUUGGAAACACAACAAAACACUAACACUCAGGGAUUUACGAAUAGUAAGACGCCUGCUAAUAUCGAUGAUUCGUUUUUAGAUUGAAUCAAUGAAUUGUUAAACGAAUUCAAUCAAUGGCACCAGCGUGACCAAGAAGAACAAUAACGUC